UUUUUUUUUCUGUUUUUUACUAUUGUAUAAUGUAGUUUUUUUACUAUUUUUAGUAAGUGUUUAAAAUAGUUAGUAAGUAAAUUAAUAAACUAGUUGAACUAGUUUACUUUUAGAAAGAACUAGUUUAUUUCUAUUUAUAGUAAGUUUAUUUUUAGUAAGAACUAGUUGAAUUAAGAACUAGUUGAACAUGUCACAUUUGUUGUUAUUUUUUUAGUUUAAGCAAUUAGUGAUGUUAUAUGUAUGAUACUACUCGGGAUGUAUUAGUGAUAACUUAUAGGGUUUUUGUUUUUGCAGAAAUCAAGGAGCCCCUCCAUCAUCCCCGCCGUCGUCCCCGUCACCGACCCCCUCCGACCUCGAGGUGAGACCAGCCAAAUCUCCAUGUCAAUAUUAAUCCUAUAAGAUAUGAUGUAGAUAAAAACAUGUAUAUCUUGUGUUGCUCAAAUAGGCCUAUGUAGAUAAAAACAUGUAUAUCCGAGUGGCCUAUGUUUUGCUGGAGUGUUGAUUAAUUUCCGUUCCGGCAAAUUUCAGGUGCUCGAUAUGUCCUGUUUUAGCAAAGGUUAUGCCGGAAUUUUCCGUGAAUUUUGGCAUGACUUGUGCUAGAAUAUGUAGGAAAUAUCGAGUGACCUAGAUUUUCUAAAAAGAUAAUUAAACGAUAUUUCGGUUGACUUUAAGACUGUCGAGGCCGAAGAAUCCCGAUUGUUGUCGUAGGGGUCGUUUAUCCUUCUUCUCCGGGUGCUAGAACUUUAUUAUGCACUAGGGGAAGGAGGAGUAACGACCAUCACCGACGGUCGCAAAUGUCAGAGAGGAAUAAGUGAGGGAGAUUAUCCACCAUAUAUGAGAGGACGAAGAAUCCCGACUGUUGUCGUGGGGGUAGCUUCUCCUUCGUUCCCAUGUGCUAGACAAUUUGGUGUAAUGCACUCGGGAACGAAAGGAGGAGCUACCAUCACCGAUGGUCGAAUAUAUACACCACGUGAGCUGAGAGUUUUCAAGAAAAGACUCGACAGACCCAUAGUCAACCCGUGAUGAAUAAUAAUGAUCUAAUUUAGUUUUUUUAGUACAUAUAUUUAAUUGUACAAGUUUAAUCUUUGAAUUAUGAACAUAGGAAAUGUUGUCGGACGAAGGUCCCGGGAAGUGCUCCUGGUGCGGCGACAACCGGGGUUUCUGCGACAGGCCUCACCUGGACAACGAUCGGCGCUUCAGCAUUAAGCUUGAGGAGGCCUUCAAUUGUGAAACGGUACACUAUGAUGCUAAAUGUUUUUCGUACUUAAGCUCGACUUCUACUACUUCAAUGUGUAAUUUUCGUCUUUUGCAAUUCGACUAGCUUAUCCAUGCCAUGCAAUACGCUAUGUCUUGGAGAAGAUGAGUUUUGAAGAUCAUGAGAGGAAUGAAACAAAGAAAAUUAACCUAAGGACCCAUCAUGGUAUGGAUUUUGAGGUAAAUCUAUACAAUUCUGAGAGCGUAUCCCGUUUUGGUUGCCCGGGUUGGGAAGCACUUGGCAAGAUGUAUGAUUUUCAAGAGGGUAUGUUUGUCACCAUGGAUCUUGAUGAUCCUGACAUCGAUCAAGAUAAUUUGGACAUUUGGGUUCUUGUUGAUACGCUUCCAUUUCUUUCGCUAUGUGAGUUCCUCAAACAUAGUUAUUAAGUAAUUUAUAUUGUUUAUUUCAAAAUAGUUGACAGCUUAUUUCCAUUGAUUGCUUAUUUUCAUGCUUCAAAGAGUGUGCGAAAGAUGGUAGACAGAACCAACUACACCGAUGGCUCUGAGUUAACUUAUCAAGAGAAAAAUCAUCUGAUCGCAUAUUGUACUGACAUUGAGAAUUACAAUGCCUUUUAUCGAACUCCUCCAAAUUAUGGUGAAUACGUGCCACCAGUGCACAUGUUGAAUAACGAUAACUUUCAUGGAGAUUUCUUGGUAACAUUUUUUACUAUUAUGACAUCCAUGCAUCUUUUGCAUAUUUUUAAAACUGAUCUACAUUGCUAACCACGAAGUUAUUACUAUGUUUUUCAACAGAAAAUCCCGAUGAAUUGUGUGCCUCAUUUGAUGUAUCAAAAUGGCCGCCUGAAUGUUUUGAACAUACGGCCAGGUCGUCCUGCGAAUCAUACCUGUGCAUACCGGGUUUCUAAAAAUGAUGAACACAUGAUAAUCAAAGAAUGGAAGAAAUGUAUGGACAUUCGUAAGGAGGUUCUUGGAAGCAACAUUGCGCGAAAGGUAAGGAUUGGAGACAGGAUAAUCUCCAUUCUCCAUAAUGGAGAGUCAGGGGCUAUCUUGUUUUAUGCUAUUUUACCCAAGAAAAUAUAGUAGGUCCUAAGAGAAUGUAGUAGGUUAUGAGGUACAAUAUGUUUAUGAGAGUUGAUGAUGAUGAGUAGUUGUGAUUAUGUCUAAUGACCAACUUGUAUGUGAUGUCUCAUUGAUGAAAACGAUUAUCAUGAGGAGGUGUUAUAUGACAAUGAUGUAUUAUGAAGAUAAGUUGUUAAUGAUAUGAUGAUGAUGAUGAUGAUGAUAUUUAUUAGAUCACUGGGUGAAAGAAACGUGGAUUAAUUUCAAGUGGAUGUUCAUCCACUUGAAACUAGUCCACGGUUCUUUCUCCCACCGAUGUAAUAACUCAUUAUGAUGUAAAAUCAUUCUCUAAAUUGCUGCGGUAUGAAAACUUGUAUAAAGGUGUAUGAAUACAACAUGAAAUAAAAAAGAAAUACGGAAUAAUAGUAGUAGCACGUGCUAGUAGAAGCGCUACUACUAAUUACCAGUAGCGCUCAUUUUAGAAAGCCCUGCUACUAAGUCGAUGUAGCAGUAGCAUGGUUCAGCCCACGCUACUGCUAACCUUUAGCUGAAGCGCCUUACUAGUAGCGCUGUACCCCGCGCUACUGAUAGGCUUCAAACACGCGCUACUGCUAGGGUUUUCCCUAGUAGUGUCACUGGCGCGGCAACGCCCCUCCUGAGGGGCGUCGGUGAUACCCCUUCCCCACUGCCAUCCGCGUACUGGGGAAAACCCUAGGACUUGUCCGGGCAGCAACAUCGUCGUCGUCGCAUUUCUUCAUGAAGAUGUUGCUUGGUAUGCGAGGCUUCAGAGUGCUUGGCGGGCCGUGGUACUUCUCCGGAGGGUGCAGCGGGUGUCGGCCAUCUUUGCUUAGUUGAGCUGCCGGCGUCGGCAUUUGUUUCUUUAUCUUUCUCUCCUUUUUCUUUUGGGCUUGUUUGUGCUGCGCCCCAGCAAGCUGGUUGUAUCGGUUGGAUGUUGCUUUAUAAUCUAAAGCGGGAGGAAACCCUUUUUCUUAACAACCAUAAAGCCGAAGACAAGACGUAUCCCAAAGUUCACACUCUUGCAGGAGUGCUAAUCUGCGUUAGUGAGAUGCGUGCGCCAACCUCCCGAACACCACCGAGGCUCACCUUAUUCUUCUCGAGCCUCCCACCAAAAGGAAGGACCUCAAUCCGUGUUUGGUCUUUAGGUGACCACCAAACCUUCACAAACUUUCAUUCGGCCUCUACAUUUCUAAAGGAAAACUCUGUUAGUGAGAUGCGAGUGCCAGCCUCCUGAACACCACCCAGGCUAGCCUUCUUCUUGAUCCUCCCACCAAAGGACCUGAAUUCACUACCGGUUGGUCUUUCGACGACAACCAAACGUUCACAAAACUUCCAUUCGACCUUUACAUUUCCAGAGGAAAACUCAAAAGUGCACAAUGCAUGCCAGAGAGCACCAUGCACGCAUCAGACCGCGGGUCUCAGCCAGGCCGGUUCCCAUCAGCAUCAUCAUCUGUAGUAGCAACUGUCAAUUCAGAGAACAAGCAAGCAAUCCCAUACUAUUGCUAGUAAUUGACAAACACUGGAAAGAUUCAAGAAGCUGAAUUCCCCUAUGCGAGCUCUACUUUUCCAAACUAAGAUACUCCCAAACAGCUGCAUGUAAAGGAUAAUGGAGCUUGUCAGCUCUGUGCUUUGGCCAGGCCCCUGGACCUGUAAGCUUUUCAAUUUUCUGCUUUAAACUCCAGUUUGUUUCUCUUUUUAGUUGUAUAAUCCUCAACUUGUGCCACUGAUGUCUUCAUGUCAACUGAAGCCUUCCUGAUGAUCUAUACAAAAGUAAAAGGGAUAUUGGACUGCAGAAGGGCAAGAAGUCAAUGUAAAAAAGAAAAACUUGACAAAGUGUCCAGCACAGGCCCUUGACCUUCAAAAUCCUACUACUGUAUAUCAAACAAAUGUAGCAUGAACUGAUCCCCAACACUGGUUUCUGGUGCCAAUUUUCCUCAACAUGCUACAAGCAGGAAAAAUGUGGCGAACGAAGUAUGCAGAAUAAACUGCAGGAACAAAGAUUACUUAAGAACCAAAACUGAUAUACUUUCUUCCAUCUCAUACACGAAUCAGUUAUCAGUGCCUGGCCCAGUGGCCCUACUCUUACACAAGUUUACAUCACAGCGCUCAGAACUACGUAGCAGUUACACAGUUCAUCGACAAGAUAGUAGCCACACAAUUCAUAACAAAAGUGUACCAUUGCGGGCACAGCUACCUGUGUUUUUCCCCACACGGGCACUAAAAGAAUGCUAUUCAGCUGUAUCUACACUUGCUGAACGCUCGCAAACCUCUGCAUCUAAACUCUAUCAAGCCUGCAGUUGCCAUCUACAGCAUUCACCGUCUCUUUCUAACUUCCUAUACAGUAGUUUGCGAAUCAUUCUCUAUACCAGAGUAACUAACAUGACUGACCUUGGCAACCAGCUAAGUAAGGACAAGCCAAUCAGGAGCACUGAAGUAUAUCUCGGCCUCCUCUCUCAGCAAACAAUGCAUGGCCAGUCGACGAGCAGCGCCAUUGGAAUCUUCCGUGAUGUGCUGCACUCUGCAACGUGAGAGCUGCAGUAAUGCCGUCAACUCUUCCAUAUCUCGGCAGGGAGCUUGAGCGCCGCCAAGUAGCAGGUCGACCAGAUGGAAUAGAUGGGACUCCAGCACAAUGCUAGUAGGUUGAUAGGCCAGAGCAACUUUGAUCCCUUCACAACAAGCAGCUGCAAAAAGAACCGUCUCCUCCGUGCUCCGCAUCGGAAAACAUAACGCGCAGAUGAACUGCCACGUUUCCCUCUUGAUCAACAAUCCCGCAGCACCUGUAGUGCCGUCAUCUGCCAUCAAACAAGCGACAUGGACCCGCAGUUCUUGCUGGCCUACUCCUAAUGCAGGUCCCUUUCCUUUGAUAUCUACUGUGGGCAGCACU
rnacentral:lncRNA from 1 species